rnacentral:rRNA from 1 species
GAUGAACGCUGGCGGCGUGCCUAACACAUGCAAGUCGAGCGGACCAAUGCUCAUUUCAGCUUUGCUGAUUUGAGCAACGGUUAGCGGCGGACGGGUGAGUAACGCGUGGGCAACCUGCCCUGUGCAGGGGGAUAACACAGCGAAAGCUGUGCUAAUACCCCAUAAGACUACGUUAUCGCAUGAUAGAGUAGUCAAAGCUUUAGCGGCACAGGAUGGGCCCGCGUCUGAUUAGCUAGUUGGUGGGGUAACGGCCUACCAAGGCGACGAUCAGUAGCCGACCUGAGAGGGUGAUCGGCCACACUGGAACUGAGACACGGUCCAGACUCCUACGGGAGGCAGCAGUGGGGAAUAUUGCACAAUGGGGGAAACCCUGAUGCAGCAACGCCGCGUGAGCGAAGAAGGCCUUCGGGUCGUAAAGCUCUGUCCUAAGGGAAGAAGUAUGACGGUACCUUAGGAGGAAGCCCCGGCUAACUACGUG